rnacentral:rRNA from 1 species
UACGGAGGAUGCAAGCGUUAUCCGGAAUGAUUGGGCGUAAAGCGUCCGUAGGUGGUUUCGUAAGUCUGUGGUCAAAGCGUGGGGCUCAACCCCAUAACGGCCAUGGAAACUACAAGACUUGAGUAAAGUAGGGGUAGAGGGAAUUCCCAGUGUAGCGGUGAAAUGCGUAGAGAUUGGGAAGAACACCGGUGGCGAAAGCGCUCUACUGGACUUAAACUGACACUGAGGGACGAAAGCUAGGGGAGCGAAAGGG